rnacentral:snRNA from 1 species
GUGCUCGCUUUGGCAGCACAUAUACUAAAAUUGGAACGAUACAGAGAAGAUUAGCAUGGCUCCUGCACAAGGAUGACACGCAAAUUCGUGAAGCAUUCCAUCGUUUA